CGAGAAUAACAAAUAUAACAUCAAAACCAAAUACAUGAAUUUGGGAUAGACAAGUAUCGUGACACGUCUUAUCGCAAUGUGAAUUUACACUCAAAAAUAAGAGAAAACAAACGAUGCAACGUUAAAAUGUAACACAUACAGAAACGAACUAUAAUAUAACAAUGGCCAUAUUCCUGACUUGGUACAGGACAUUUUAAAAGAAAAAAA
rnacentral:lncRNA from 1 species